AGAGUUUGAUCCUGGCUCAGGAUAAACGCUGGCGGCGCACAUAAGACAUGCAAGUCGAACGGACUUAACCAUUAGUUUACUAUUGGAGCGGUUAGUGGCGGACUGGUGAGUAACACGUAAGCAACCUGCCUAUCAGAGGGGAACAACAGUUAGAAAUGACUGCUAAUACCGCAUAUGCCUUGAGUAUCACAUGGUACAAAAGGGAAAGGAGCAAUCCGCUGAUAGAUGGGCUUGCGUCUGAUUAGAUAGUUGGUGAGGUAAUGGCCCACCAAGUCGACGAUCAGUAGCCGGACUGAGAGGUUGAACGGCCACAUUGGGACUGAGAUACGGCCCAGACUCCUACGGGAGGCAGCAGUCGGGAAUAUUGCGCAAUGGAGGAAACUCUGACGCAGUGACGCCGCGUGCAGGAAGAAGGUUUUCGGAUUGUAAACUGCUUUAGACAGGGAAGAAACAAGACAGUACCUGUAGAAUAAGCUCCGGCUAACUACGUGCCAGCAGCCGCGGUAAUACGUAGGGAGCAAGCGUUAUCCGGAUUUAUUGGGUGUAAAGGGUGCGUAGACGGGAAAUUAAGUUAGUUGUGAAAUCCCUCGGCUUAACUGAGGAACUGCAACUAAAACUGAUUUUCUUGAGUGCUGGAGAGGAAAGUGGAAUUCCUAGUGUAGCGGUGAAAUGCGUAGAUAUUAGGAGGAACACCAGUGGCGAAGGCGACUUUCUGGACAGUAACUGACGUUGAGGCACGAAAGUGUGGGGAGCAAACAGGAUUAGAUACCCUGGUAGUCCACACCGUAAACGAUGGAUACUAGGUGUAGGGUGUGAUAAACAUUCUGUGCCGUCGCAAACGCAGU
rnacentral:rRNA from 1 species